GCGCAGCAGUCGAGAAUCUUCCACAAUGGACGAAAGUCUGAUGGAGCGACGCCGCGUGCGGGAUGAAGGCCUUAUGGGUUGUAAACCGCUGUCAGGGGGAAGGAACAUCGGAAUGAACAAAUACUCAUUCCGACUGACGUUACCCCCACGAGGAAGCUCCGGCCAACUCCGUGCCAGCAGCCGCGGUAAUACGGGGGAGGCAAGCGUUGUCCGGAAUUAUUGGGCGUAAAGGCGUGUAGGCGGCGAGGUAAGUCGAAUGUGAAAUCUCACGGCUCAACCGUGAAACUGCGUUCGAAAACUACCCUGCUUGAGUACGGAGGAGGUGUACGGAAUUCCUGGUGUAGCGGUGGAAUGCGUAGAUAUCAGGAAGAACACCGGUGGC
rnacentral:rRNA from 1 species